AGAGUUUGAUCAUGGCUCAGGACGAACGCUGGCGGCAUGCCUAACACAUGCAAGUCGAACGAGAAAGUUCCUUCGGGAGCAAUUAAAGUGGCGCACGGGUGAGUAACGCGUAGACAAUCUGCCCUUCAGUCUGGGACAACUUUUCGAAAGGAGAGCUAAUACCGGAUAACAAUGCAUGACACAAGUUGUAUAUUUGAAAGCUUUAUGUGCUGAAGGAGGGGUCUGCGCCCCAUUAGCUAGUUGGUAGGGUAAAGGCUUACCAAGGCAACGAUGGGUAGCGGGUUUGAGAGGACGAUCCGCCACACUGGAACUGAGACACGGUCCAGACUCCUACGGGAGGCAGCAGUGGGGAAUAUUGCACAAUGGAGGAAACUCUGAUGCAGCAAUGUCGCGUGAGUGAAGAAGGCCCUUGGGUCGUAAAGCUCUUUUAUGGGGGAAGAUGAUGACGGUACCCCAAGAAUAAGCACCGGCUAACUAUGUGCCAGCAGCCGCGGUAAUACAUAGGGUGCGAGCGUUGUUCGGAAUUACUGGGCGUAAAGGGCGCGCAGGCGGAAUAGUAAGUCGGAGGUGAAAGCCCGGGGCUCAACCCCGGAGGGUCUUUCGAAACUACUAAUCUAGAGAGGGUCAGGGGCCGGCAGAAUUCCUGGUGUAGAGGUGAAAUUCGUAGAUAUCA
rnacentral:rRNA from 1 species